rnacentral:rRNA from 1 species
UCUAUAUAAGCAAUUAUACCGUGAAACUGCGAAUGGCUCAUUAAAUCAGUUAUCGUUUAUUUGAUAGUACCUUACUACUUGGAUAACCGUGGUAAUUCUAGAGCUAAUACAUGCUAAAAACCCCGACUUCGGGAGGGGUGUAUUUAUUAGAUAAAAAACCAAUGCCCUUCGGGGCUCCUUGGUGAUUCAUAAUAACUUCUCAGAUCGCAUGGCCUUGCGCCGGCGACGGUUCAUUCAAAUUUCUGCCCUAUCAACUUUCGAUGGUAAGGUAUUGGCUUACCAUGGUUUCAACGGGUAACGGGGAAUUAGGGUUCGAUUCCGGAGAGGGAGCCUGAGAAACGGCUACCACAUCCAAGGAAGGCAGCAGGCGCGCAAAUUACCCAAUCCCGACACGGGGAGGUAGUGACAAUAAAUACUGAUACAGGGCUCUUUAGGGUCUUGUAAUUGGAAUGAGUACAAUUUAAACCUCUUAACGAGGAACAAUUGGAGGGCAAGUCUGGUGCCAGCAGCCGCGGUAAUUCCAGCUCCAAUAGCGUAUAUUAAAGUUGUUGCAGUUAAAAAGCUCGUAGUUGAACCUUUGGCCUGGCUGGCGGGUCCGCCUCACCGCGUGCACUCGUCCGGCCGGGCCUUUUCUUCUGGAGAACCGCAUGCCCUUCACUGGGUGUGUUGGGGACCAGGACUUUUACUUUGAAAAAAUUAGAGUGUUCAAAGCAGGCCUUUGCUCGAAUACGUUAGCAUGGAAUAAUAGAAUAGGACGUGCGGUCCUAUUUUGUUGGUUUCUAGGACCGCCGUAAUGAUUAAUAGGGACAGUCGGGGGCAUCAGUAUUCAAUUGUCAGAGGUGAAAUUCUUGGAUUUAUUGAAGACUAACUACUGCGAAAGCAUUUGCCAAGGAUGUUUUCAUUAAUCAGUGAACGAAAGUUAGGGGAUCGAAGACGAUCAGAUACCGUCGUAGUCUUAACCAUAAACUAUGCCGACUAGGGAUCGGGCGGUGUUAUUAUUUUGACUCGCUCGGCACCUUACGAGAAAUCAAAGUGUUUGGGUCUGGGAG